rnacentral:rRNA from 1 species
CGGACGGGUGAGUAACACGUUGAUAACCUACCUAUAAGACUGGGAUAACUUCGGGAAACCGGAGCUAAUACCGGAUAAUAUAUUGAACCGCAUGGUUCAAUAGUGAAAGACGGUUUUGCUGUCACUUAUAGAUGGAUCCGCGCCGCAUUAGCUAGUUGGUAAGGUAACGGCUUACCAAGGCAACGAUGCGUAGCCGACCUGAGAGGGUGAUCGGCCACACUGGAACUGAGACACGGUCCAGACUCCUACGGGAGGCAGCAGCU